rnacentral:rRNA from 1 species
UACGUAGGGGGCAAGCGUUGUCCGGAUUUAUUGGGCGUAAAGAGCGUGUAGGCGGCCAGGUAGGUCCGCUGUGAAAACUCGAGGCUCAACCUCGAGAUGUCGGCGGAAACCAUCUGGCUAGAGUCCGGAAGAGGAGAGUGGAAUUCCUGGUGGUAGCGGUGAAAUGCGCAGAUAUCAGGAAGAACACCCGUGGCGAAGGCGGCUCUCUGGGACGGUACUGACGCUGAGACGCGAAAAGCGUGGGGGAGCGAACAGG